GACGAACGCUGGCGGCGUGCCUAAUACAUGCAAGUCGAACGCAGUGGGGACGGGUGAGUAGCACGUGGGUGACCUCCCAUCAGAGGGGAUAACCCUUGGAAAAAGGUGCUAAACCGAUACUGAUGGAUGGACCCGGGUGGGAUUAGCUAGUUGGUGGGGUAACGGCUCACCAAGGCCACGAUGCCUAGCUGACCUGAGAGGGUGAGCGGCCACACUGGGACUGAGACACGGACCAGACUCCUACGGGAGGCAGCAGUAGGGAAUCUUGGGCAAUGGACGAAAGCCUGAUCGAGCAACGCCGCGUGAGUGAAGAAGGUUUUCGGAUCGUAAAACUCUGUUGGUAGAGAAGCGGUAUCUAACGAGAAAGCAACGGCUAACUACGUGCCAGCAGCCGCGGUAAUUC
rnacentral:rRNA from 1 species